GGCUGUAGCCGUAACCUUAGCCGUAGCCGUAGUGGUAAGAAAAGUUAAACCAAUGUGUUUCAAUAGCACCGUUUAGGGAACCGCUUAAGGCUACGGCCGAUGUAGCCGUAACACCUAAAGUUGGCCAACUUUUAACUUCUUACGUUUAGGACAAAAUUUGAGCAUGCGCACUAAUACGAAGGGUCAAUGUUAAACAUGACUAUGUACAGCUGUUUUGUGUUUACGCAUUGACGUCACGGGCUGGUGUUUCAGUACUCGUGUAUUUAUUAGUUAUAAAUGUCGAAUUUGACGGAGCAAUUUGACGCAAAAUUAAUCGAACUUGUGCAAUGUAAUGAAUGUCUGUACGACCCACUAUCACCAAACCACAAGAAUAAAAUAAUUUUGGAAAAUACUUGGUUGAAAAUAGCAACCACAUUGCAAUCUACAGUUGAACAGUGCGAAAAUCGCUAGAAAAACUUGAGACAACAUUAUGGAAGAUGUAGUAAGCAAAAACCGUCCGGAUCUGCUGCCGAACCAAGUUGGGUGCAUUUUAAGAGUUUGUCUUUUUUAUCUACAAUUAUCAGGCGCAGAUCUAAAAAGCCCGUUUUGUAACCACGGCCCAUAGAAUAUGAUCACCACCCUGCCAUAGAAAAUUCUGAGUCAUUGUCACAAACUGAUAAUAUAUUUGAAUCUCUACAACUCCCUCCCAAAAUAUCACCAACACCACUUGCUAUUCCAGUAUCAGAGCUAUUAUCCACAGAAUAUUCAGUCCCAUCACCGUUACCUCCAAUCCCAUCAACUUCCGAAAUUUCUAGGCCACCAUCUCCCCUAAUACCACCUGAACCAUUAUGGACCUCUCCUCCCACCAAAAGAAGAAAAAAAACCGACACAGUUGAUAACUUGGCCGACACAAUUUCAAAAUCGAUGGACCAAAUAUCAAAAUUUAUAGUGGAAGACGAUACAAAUACAACAUUUGGAAAACUGGUAGGCCAGCUAUUAAACGAGAAACCACCCGGGUUACAAAACAAGUUCAGAAUAAAAAUAUUACAACUU